UACUUUGCGCAGUGGCAGUAUCGUAGCCAAUGAGGUUAAUCCGAGGCGCGAUUAUUGCUAAUUGAAAAAUUCUUUUGCAACAUCAACACUGAUGGCCAGAUCAUGACUGGCCAUUUUACAAGUGCACAGCAGAGAAGGCA
rnacentral:snRNA from 1 species